UACGAAGGGUGCAAGCGUUAAUCGGAAUUACUGGGCGUAAAGCGCGCGUAGGUGGUUCAGCAAGUUGGAUGUGAAAGCCCUGGGCUCAACCUGGGCACUGCAGUUGGAACUGGCAAGCUAGAGUAGGGUAGAGGGGUGUGGAAUUCCAGGUGUAGCGGUGAAAUGCGUAGAUAUCUGGAGGAACAUCAGUGGCGAAGGCGACACCCUGGACUCAUACUGACACUGAGGUGCGAAAGCGUGGGGAGCAAACAGG
rnacentral:rRNA from 1 species